AACCUGCAGACAGGAAAGAGAGAAGCCAAACUCCCGGACAGAGAAUAUGGGGAAGGUGACACGAGAGAAGAGAGAAGAAGAAAAAGGCUGGGCAAGGUUGAUCUCGAUGCAAAUUCAUUCACAUCUGAGGAGCUUAAAAAGGCCUUGGCUAAAAUGAAGGAAAGUGAGAAGGCAGAAAGGAAGGCCCAAGAGGAAGAGGUGAGGAAGAAGUUCCGGCCCAUAGAGCAGCUGAAGGAGGAG